rnacentral:lncRNA from 1 species
GGGGUGGAGCGAUAAAAAGUCAUUACAUUGAACUUCGAGGCAUUAAGUUGUAACAUAUUUGCACAGCACAAUAACUGAAAGCUAUUGAGAUCAGAUUGCAAGCGAGAGUGAAAUGAAAUGUCCUUAUACUGGGCACAGAGUUUAACAUCAUCCGCAUACAUAAGUACUCGAGAAUUUGUUAAUACAGGGGGCAGGUCAUUAAUAAAGAAUGUGAAAAGUAAGGGGCCUAAAUGGCUACCCUGUGGUACUCCAGAAGUAACCAUAACAGGUAAAGAUAAGGAGUUUUUGAAAAAGACCCUUUGAGACCUAGAACACAGGUAGCUAUAAAUCCAUCUCCACAGAUUUGGCGGAAACCCUAGAAGGUCGAGCUUUUCUGCAAGAAGAGAAUGGUUUACAGAAUCGAAUGCCUUACUAAAGUCAGUGUAAAUAACAUCCGUCUGCAAGUUACCUUGGAAUCCUUUAAUGACAAAGGAGGUGAACUCUAAAAGAUUAGUGGUUGUUGAUCGUCGCCGUAUAAAUCCGUGCUGAGCUGGAGAUAUAAGUGAUUUGCAGAGAUGCUGCAAGUGCGGAGUUAAAAUUUUCUCGAACAUUUUAGGAGUAGCGGAUAACUUAGAUAUACCUCUAUAGUUUUUGGCGUCAGACUUGCU